GACGAACGCUGGCGGCGUGCUUAACACAUGCAAGUCGAACGAAGUGGCGAACGGGUGAGUAACGCGUAAUCAACCUGCCCUUCAGCGGGGGACAACAGUUUGAAACGACUGCUAAUCCCGCAUACUGAAGGAGGGGCUUGCGUCUGAUUAGGUAGUUGGAGGGGUAACGGCCCACCAAGGCGAUGAUCAGUAGGCGGUCUGGGAGGGUGGACGGCCACAAUGGGACUGAGGAACGGGCCAGACUCCUACGGGGGGCAGCAGUGGGGAAUCUUCCGCAAUGGACGAAAGUCUGACGGGGCAAAGCCGCGUGAGUGAUGACGGCCUUCGGGUUGGAAAGCUCUGUUAAUCGGGACGCGGUACCGGAAUAGAAAGCCACGGCUAACUACGUGCCAGCAGCCGCGGUAAUUC
rnacentral:rRNA from 1 species